UACAGAGGUCCCAAGCGUUGUUCGGAUUCACUGGGCGUAAAGGGCGCGCAGGCGGCUACGCACGUCCGUUGUGAAAUCGCCCGGCUCAACUGGGCGGGGUCAGCGGAUACGGCGUAGCUGGAGCAAGCUAGGGGGCAAUGGAAUUCCCGGUGUAGUGGUGGAAUGCGUAGAUAUCGGGAGGAACACCAGUGGCGAAGGCGGUUGCCUGGAGCUUUGCUGACGCUGAGGCGCGAAAGCGUGGGGAGCGAACAGG
rnacentral:rRNA from 1 species